UAUCAGCAUCUCCAUGGAGGUCCCAGGGAGUAUUUGGGGACCCACCAAGGCCCCACAGUGUCCCCAGAGUGGUGAGUGACCAUCCUAGCCACAAUUUCACUGCCUCCAGCCCUCCUGGCCCUGCCGGGCGGUUUCCCAGCGAUGCUGGAGACUGAGACCACAAUAGAAGGAAAUCACUAAAGCUGAAUUGCUCCAAGUAAGUCCUCAGCAGGGUUUGACUGGUAAAUAUUUAACAAGGAGAACUCCCUAUCCUCUCCUGGUACGUAUUAAACUAAUACAUUUAUUUUAACAAGGGAAACGGUUUCCCCCAGCUCCCGCUCAAUUUGAGCCCCUGACUUGUACAAAAGCCUGGGUAAGGUUGGCUUCCUGGGGCUCAGUAAUUCACUGGGGCUAAACGAGAGAUGGCUCCGAGCCACGAACUCGGAGUGUGGAGGUGACAGGACCUCCCCAAGGUUGGGGAGAGCUUGGUACUGGGGUUUCCAUUCCCAUCUGCCUCCAAACUGGUCCAACACCCACCUCAGGACAUCCCAGGUUCUGAGCACUUCAGCCAUCCUGUGGAGCAGGGUUGACUCUGUCCCAUCACGGUUUCCACGUGUUGGAAGCAGCUCACAUGCCAAGUCCUCCCUAGAGCCUUUGCAAAGCUCCAGCUCCACGAGCACCCAUCCCACACUUUCUCCAUCCCCAGUCCUUUUGCUGCCUGUCCCCGUGCUCAGGUGGAGCUGGGUGCCAUGGGCAAGGGCGUGAUGCUGGGAGGGCAAGCAGCUCCCAUCCCUUCUGCCCAGGCUGGUGAUGCUGAGGGUUUAUUCCCCCUCAGCUCUGCUCUUUGCUCCAUUCCAUAGACCAGAGGGGGACUGACAAUACCCCAAGAGCAAAAGUAUUUCACUACUGAUGAUCCUCCAGGGUGGCCAAAUCCAGUAGUCCUCAGGAAGCCCUGCUGAGCCAUCUCCUCAUGCUUUCUGGCCUGAAUGGGGCACACUCAAAUCUGUAACCCCACGCAUGGGGGAUUGGUUCUCCACAAGACCUUCCCAUACAACCGGGGGCUCUGUCCCUCUGCUGGAACUGGCUCUGUGCCCCGAGCAGGAUGGUGGCUGCCAGGUGAAUGCUGCCUCUGCAAAACAUGCCCUGAACAGCUCAUGGGGCAUGUCACUGGUGCCAGGGCUCACUCACGGGCACCCAAACUACACAGCUGCUUUCCCUGCUGUGGCAUUGCUGUUCCUGGGGGCCACAGAGAUGGUCCCACCCUCUGUGGGCAGUGGGAGCUCUGAUACCGUUCCCUGCCAUCCCAGCUGGGAGAGCCCAGUGCUGCCCUUGUGGGCUGCAGGCAGGCUCUGAGGCUGUUGGAGUCUCUCUCACUCCCUCACUAAUAUUUUUCAGGCUUUCCCUCAAGGAAAUAAAAAUCUCUGAAAGCAACUCCCAGCUUUGCAUCUUUGCUCCGAGCCAUCCCGUGACUCCAGCACUUCCAUUCUGACUCACGGGCAGAGGGCAGGUUUGAACAACUGUGGCUGCCUCUGCCAAGGCAAUUAUGACUCCUGGCACCAUGGCCCAAAAACCUCUGGGAAACUUUCCCUGCUCCACUUACCCCACUCGCGGUGUGUGUGAUGAUGUGUGACAUUCCCAGGAGAGGUGCAGGCACGGCUCUCAUGGUGGGAAAUGGAAGAUGCAAGUCCUUGAUGCACUGGGAAGAGCUCCCUGGUACCAUAAACCCUCUUCUGCUCACAGUCCCUGGAUCAGAGGCUGCCUUGGCACCUCCCUGUGUGCCCACAAUUAUGCAGUGCUGGGAGAUCCGUUCAGGUGAGGCCACCAGCGUGGAAACAUCCAACAAAACCUGCUGUGGCCUGAGCAUCUGACAUUUUUUUGUCCUGCCACUGUGAUCUGACAUCAUGUUUAUCCUUCAUCACCACCAAAACCUAACCUGUGAAGCAUCUCUCCAAGUAUUCCUUCCCCAGGUAUUCCAGUCUGCCUUCAGUUCUUCAUAAUAUUUAGUAAACUCCCCUCUUGAAAAGAAAGGGCUGAGCAGAAACAAGGAACGUUCACCUCCCCCUCACAAACAAGCAGAAGGUCCAUUCCUGUCCCAACCUUCACCUGUCCCAUCCCACAGCAGCCAGUGAGGUCUCUCCCACCACCAGUAGGAAAAUCAGUAGGAAAAAUCUGUUUUUCUGGGACUGUGAUUCCAGCAAGUCGCACAGCAGCUUGGCAGUACAGUAAAUAAGAAACAGAUUUCCAAAUGUUUUGGUUUACCAUUUUUUUCUCUUUGUAGCAUCUAAGCCCAGGGGCUGAGGACCUGACUCCACAAAGUCUCUGUCCUGCACCCACAGGCAGGCACCCAGCAGGGCUCAGCCUGGCAGGGGAAGAUCCUGGUGAGGAGCAUUCCCUGUGGAGCAGCAGCUUGUCAAGCCAGGGGAGCUGCACACAAUCUGUUCAGAAGUGCCCAAUUUCAGUGCAAAAUGGAAAAUUGGACAGAAAAGCAGGCCCUGGAGUGCAUCCCAUGCUGAGGGUGGUAAGCCAUGAAACAUUCACUGCCAUGGCUCCUGUGCUGGUUUGAGGUGCUGUGCUGCUGCCUCUCACAGUUGUCCCCAGCUGCAUUUUCCCCUCGUGGUGUCUCACACCUGUGAGCAUUAAUGACAAGACUGAAAGCUCUGGGGCUGAUUCUCUUUCCACAUCAGCUUCAGUCCAGAAUAACUUCAGUCCAGAAUAAUUUCCUCAGCUGGAACUCACCCUGGUGCACGGGCGUGCAAGAGGAGCAGGAACUGAAGGAUCCGGAGCUUGUUUCAAACUCAGCUGGCAAAGCAGAGCAAAAACACAUCAGAGGCAGCCAGUGACAUGGCUAGACGGGAUGAUUCUUCCUCCCUGUGCAUGUGGGAGCUGGACACACUGGGAUGGAGGACCUGGAGUUUGUCCCCCUCCAACCCAGGCUCACAGGCACUUCCCAGGCUGUUACCCCCUGUGCAGACACCUCCCAACCUGCCAGACCCCCACAGCAGCAUCACAGCUCUCUGUGGAAGUGCUGCAGUGUGGAAGGCACAGGUUGGAAAACAAAAAUGACACAGGCAGCUUCCAUGAGCAGGCCAGUGGUGUCCAAAAUCCAGCCAUGGACACGUGCAUUCAGUGCAUGAUCACACACCAGUACAGAGAGACAAGGAAGUUAUGGUGGGCAGAGGUUUAUACUAAACAAAGUCCUGUUGGAUUAUAAGACAAAAUCAGCAUCACCCUGGUGAGUAACUUGGGAAGUAAUUAAGAGCAGUUUUAUAGGUGCAAGAUCCUGCUGUGCCAUGGACCAGUAAAACUGUGUCUGAGUCUUCUGAUGGACACAUGCAGGGCUGUGUGUAACACACAGGCCAGGCUCAGGCUGCAGGUGUGCCAGUGCCUGCUCAUCCCACCUCCCUGAUGGCCUGAGGGAGCUCAGGGCACUUCACAUGGGAUCCAAUCCACCCACGGCACGUUGGGGAAUGGCUCCUCCUGCUCUGGAGCUGAGUCACACAGUGUACCAACCAAAACUAAAGGGCCACGGUCCCAAAAAGCUGGACCAAAAAGCUUUGUGAAGCUGAGCUGUGAGACAGCAGCGGAAGAACAGUGCUGAGAGGCUGGAGAUGCUCCACUUCCCUAUGCUCUGGUCACCCAACACCUCCAGGCUGGGCAGCCAGAAAUUAGGACAACCAGGAACAGCUGGGUGUUUCCCCGGGUCCAGGCUUUGUGUUUUAGCAGUUCAACCUCGGCAGAAUGGGCAGGAAGCUGAUUCCAAGAUGACAAAAGGGAACCCAACAGUGGGACCCACCAAGCCAUUGGGUCCUCCCUUCCCAGAACCCUCAGCCAGUGCUUGGCUGACCCAGGGCCAGGGGCUUGGGGAUGCAGCUCGUGUUCCCAGAUCAAGGCAACAUUUUAUCUGUGCCAGUUCGAGCCAUUAAUAGUUGUCUUUACAAACCCUCCCAAGCUUCCAACACUAUGUAAACAGAAGUGAAUUAAAAUUAUUUUUUUCCAUCA